AGGGGGUUGGGUUUCAACACGUGAAUCUGUGGGGAACACAAACACCUAAUCCAUAACAGGACCUUUCCUCGAGGACCCUGGAAGCAGGUGUGCAAACGGCCUUACUCCUCCAGGACCCUGGAAGCAGGUGUGCAAACGGCCUUACUCCUCCAGGACCCUGGAAGCAGGUGUGCAAACGGUCUUACUCCUCCCUGACCUCGCCUCAUGUCUGCAGAUGAGACCUGAAAUGCACAAAUCGAUAAAUUUAUGUUCAUUUUUUAUUAAUUUGUCCUUUAUUUCAUGCCUUAGCUGAGGGCCUUGGUCAGAG
rnacentral:lncRNA from 1 species